rnacentral:rRNA from 1 species
GAUGAACGCUGGCGGCGUGCUUAACACAUGCAAGUCGAACGGAAAGGCUCCUGCUUGCAGGGGUACUCGAGUGGCGAACGGGUGAGUAACACGUGGGUGAUCUGCCCUGCACUUCGGGAUAAGCCUGGGAAACUGGGUCUAAUACCGGAUAGGACGAUGGUUUAGAUGCCAUUGUGGAAAGUUUUUCGGUGUGGGAUGAGCUCGCGGCCUAUCAGCUUGUUGGUGGGGUAAUGGCCUACCAAGGCGUCGACGGGUAGCCGGCCUGAGAGGGUGUACGGCCACAUUGGGACUGAGAUACGGCCCAGACUCCUACGGGAGGCAGCAGUGGGGAAUAUUGCACAAUGGGCGCAAGCCUGAUGCAGCGACGCCGCGUGGGGGAUGACGGCCUUCGGGUUGUAAACUCCUUUCGCUAGGGACGAAGCGCAAGUGACGGUACCUGGAGAAGAAGCACCGGCUAACUACGUG